rnacentral:rRNA from 1 species
UCUCCUACGGGGGGGAGCAGUGGGGAAUAUUGCACAAUGGGCGCAAGCCUGAUGCAGCCAUGCCGCGUGUGUGAAGAAGGCCUUAGGGUUGUAAAGCACUUUCAGUGGGGAGGAAAGGUUGAAGGUUAAUACCCUUUGGCUGUGACGUUACCCACAGAAGAAGCACCGGCUAACUCCGUGCCAGCAGCCGCGGUAAUACGGAGGGUGCGAGCGUUAAUCGGAAUUACUGGGCGUAAAGCGUGCGUAGGCGGCCACCUAAGUUGGAUGUGAAAGCCCCGGGCUCAACCCGGGAACUGCAUCCAAAACUGGGUGGCUGGAGUACGGGAGAGGAGUGUGGAAUUUCUCGUGCAGG